ensembl:lncRNA
GCCUGGGUUUGAUUCUCCGGCCGGGUGAUCAGGGUCCUCUCUGUGUGGAGUUUGCAUGUUCUCCCUGUAUCUGCGUGGGUUUCCUCCGGGUUCUCUGCUUUCCUCCCACAGUCCAAAGACAUGCAGUCAGGCCAAUUGGACAAGCUACAUUGCCCCUGGGUGUGAGUGACUGUCUGUGUCUGUCUGUCUGCCUUGUGAUGGACUGGCGACCUGUCCAGGGUGUAUCCUGCCUUCCGCCCGAAGACUGCUGGGAUAGGCUCCAGCGUCCCCCCGGGACCCUGACGGAGAAGCGGCUUAGAAAAUGGAUGGAUGGAUGGAUAAUAAUAAUAAAGUUUUCAGUCAAAUCAGUCAAAACCUUUCCACUUCCUGAUGCCUUAGGAAAGAGGAAAAGCAUUCAGGCUUGAUACUGGUCAGAAGAACAGUGAGAAGGCAGGGCCUACCAGCAAAGCGGACAUACAGCAGAAUUCCAACUAACAUGACGUCGCAUAGAGAAGAUACAGCACAAACACAGUUCGGUUAUACCAGGCCUUGAAAACAUCAAUCCCUGGUGAGGAACUACGUUCUUUUUUGUAUUUGCAUCUGAAAUAUUUUUGUUAAAACAGAUAAAGUGUCAGCAAUAAAGAGUUACAC